rnacentral:rRNA from 1 species
UACAGAGGUCUCAAGCGUUGUCCGGAUUUAUUGGGCGUAAAGCGCUCGCAGGUGGUUCGAUGCGUCGUGCGUGAAAGACCCCGGCUCAACUGGGGAGGGUCGUGCGAUACGGUCGAACUGGAGGCCAGUAGGGGGAUGCGGAAUUCCGGGUGUAGUGGUGGAAUGCGUAGAGAUCCGGAGGAACACCAGCGGCGAAGGCGGCAUCCUGGACUGGUCCUGACGCUGAAACGCGAAAGCUAGGGGAGCGAACGGG